CGCUGGAGCUAGCGCAGGAG
rnacentral:misc_RNA from 1 species